GACCAGGCUGGCGGACGGGCGCGACAUGCGCGAUGCGUAUCCGCGGCAGGAGUGGCCGUUCCUGCUGAGUUCGUUCAAGUCCAAUCUGAUGA
rnacentral:tRNA from 1 species